CCUACGGGAGGCAGCAGUGAGGAAUAUUGGGCAAUGCCCGCAAGGGUGACCCAGCAACGCCGCGUGGAGGAUGAAGGCCGUAAGGUUGUAAACUCCUGUUAGAGGAGAAGAAUAGUACCGAUUGGAUCGGUAUUUGACUGUACCCCCAGAGAAAGCCCCGGCUAACUACGUGCCAGCAGCCGCGGUAAU
rnacentral:rRNA from 1 species